rnacentral:lncRNA from 10 species
AUCUGAGGACACAGUGAGAAGCCAUCAUCUAUGAACCAGGACAUGGUCCUCACUAGACACCCAAUCUUCUGGCACCUGGAUCUCAUGCCUCCAGAACUGCUACCUCAGCUUUAUUAAAGGAAGUGAAGCUUGCACUAAGGGAAAGGGAACACCCCAGGAGAGAGCAGCAGGAAUGCCAGUAGGAAGGAGCAGAUGGGCGAGCGGCUUGGAGGCAGAGUGAAGCAGGGGACACACCGGGACAAAAGGGUGCAAGCCCAACAGAGGAGUGAACACCUGCUCCCGGAGAAACGGCAUCUCUCAACGUGACGUCGAAGGGACCAGGAUUAUAGACAUGAAUGCUAACAAUUCUGACCUCAGGUGAGGAGCUACAGAAAUGGAUGGUAGAACUGGAAACAAACGUUAAGAAUCCAUCCAAUCCUGAGUACGUGGAACUAAAUCAAUAAAACACAACAGAAACCUCCACGGUGAAAACCCCACUCUUCUAGAAUAAGAAUACAAUGAAUUCAAUCCGUCUUUAAUUUUGUGCCUAAGAUGGGUGCCAAUGUCUGAAGGCACAUGUUAAAG